UGGGGAAUGAUUGCACAAUGGGCGAAAGCCUGAUGCAGCAACGCCGCGUGAGUGAUGAAGGCCUUCGGGUUGUAAAGCUCUGUCUUUUGGGACGAUAGUGACGGUACCAAAGGAGGAAGCCACGGCUAACUACGUGCCAGCAGCCGCGGUAAUACGUAGGUGGCAAGCGUUGUCCGGAUUUACUGGGCGUAAAGGAUGCGUAGGCGGAUUUUAAGUGAGAUGUGAAAUACCCGGGCUUAACUUGGGUGCUGCAUUUCAAACUGGGAAUCUAGAGUGCGGGAGAGGAGAAUGGAAUUCCUAGUGUAGCGGUGAAAGUGCGUAGAGAUUAGGAAGAACACCAGUGGCGAAGGCGAUUCUCUGGACCGUAACUGACGCUGAGGCAUGAAAUGCGUGGGUAGCAAACAGGAUUAGAUACCCUGGUAGUCCACGCCGUAAACGAUGAG
rnacentral:rRNA from 1 species